rnacentral:rRNA from 1 species
GACGAACGCUGGCGGCGUGCUUAACACAUGCAAGUCGAACGGACAGACCCUGCUCUUGUGCGGUGCUCGAGUGGCGAACGGGUGAGUAACACGUGUGUAACCUGCCCUUGACUUUGGGAUAACUUCAGGAAACUCCGGAUAAUAUCGCAGAGAAUCUCCUGCACCAUGGGGGGCGUUGGAAAAUUUCGGCUUUGGGGGCUGGUAUCGCGGCUUAUCGGCUGGUUGGGCUGGUAGUGGCUUACCAGGGCUUUGACGGCUAGCCGGCCUGAGAGGGUGACCGGCCACAAUGGGACUGAGGUACGGCGCAGACUCCUACGGGAGGCAGCAGUGGGGAGUAUUACACAAUGGGCGGGAGCGUGAUGCAGCGACGCCGCGUGCGGGAUGCCGGCCUUCGGGUUGUGAACCGCUUUCGCCUGUGACGAAGCGUUAGUGACGGUAAUGGGUAAAGAAGCACCGGCUAACUACGUG